rnacentral:piRNA from 1 species
UUUAAGAAUCUUUUUUAUAUU